rnacentral:rRNA from 1 species
UGGGGAAUAUUGCACAAUGGGCGAAAGCCUGAUGCAGCAACGCCGCGUGCGGGAUGACGGCCUUCGGGUUGUAAACCGCUUUCAGCAGGGACGAAGGUUUUCUGACGGUACCUGCAGAAGAAGCACCGGCUAACUACGUGCCAGCAGCCGCGGUGAUACGUAGGGUGCGAGCGUUGUCCGGAAUUAUUGGGCGUAAAGAGCUUGUAGGCGGUCCGUUGCGUCGGAAGUGAAAACUCAGGGCUUAACCCUGAGCCUGCUUUCGAUACGGGCGGACUUGAGGGAUGUAGGGGAGAACGGAAUUCCUGGUGGAGCGGUGGAAUGCGCAGAUAUCAGGAGGAACACCAGUGGCGAAGGCGGUUCUCCGGACAUUUCCUGACGCUGAGAAGCGAAAGCGUGGGGAGCAAACAGGCUUAGAUACCCUGGUAGUCCACGCCGUAAACGGUGGGCACUAGGUGUGGGACCCAUUCCACGGGUUCCGUGCCGUAGCUAACGCAUUAAGUGCCCCGCCUGGGGAGUACGGCCGCAAGGCU